rnacentral:rRNA from 2 species
GAUGAACGCUAGCUACAGGCUUAACACAUGCAAGUCGAGGGGAAACGUGCGCCAAGCUUGCUUGGCGCAGCAGCCGACCGGCGAAUGGGUGAGUAACGCGUAUCCAACCUGCCCGUAAGCAGGGGAUAGUCUUCCGAAAGGAAGGUUAAUACCCUAUGUGCUCUUCAAACGGCAUCAGAGGAGGAGCAAAGAUCCGUCGCUUACGGAUGGGGAUGCGUCUGAUUAGGCAGUUGGCGGGAUAAAGGCCCACCAAACCGACGAUCAGUAGGGGUUCUGAGAGGAAGGUCCCCCACAUUGGAACUGAGACACGGUCCAAACUCCUACGGGAGGCAGCAGUGAGGAAUAUUGGUCAAUGGGCGAGAGCCUGAACCAGCCAAGUAGCGUGCAGGAUGACGGCCCUAUGGGUUGUAAACUGCUUUUGAGGGGGAAUAAAGUGAGUGACGUGUCACUCAUUGCAUGUACCCCUGGAAUAAGGACCGGCUAAUUCCGUG